CUGAAGAGCUUUCCUAACAAGUUCCUCCUCUUCAAUAGCUGUUUCUUCAUCUUUCUCUUCAAGAACUAGUUCUUCAGGUGUCUCUUCAAGUGCUAGUUCUUCAGGUGCUUCCUCCUUUGCUAGCUCUUCAGCUGUUUCUUUAGCUGCCGCUUCUUCAGGUCUCUCUUUAGACGCCGGUUCUUGAGGUUUCUCCUCAACCAGUACUUCAGAUUUCUCCUCAAAUGUUGGUUCUUCAGGUUUCUCCUUAACUGCUGGUACAUCAGGUUUCUGUUCAAUGACUGAUUCUUCAGUUUUUUCUUCAACUGCCGACACUUCAGGAUUUUCCUCAAUGUCUGGAAAGUGAGCAACAUCAUUACCGGUAUUGCAUGGAAUUUCACUACCAGUUUUGUCGUUCAAGUCUACAAUUAGCAUAGUCUGCAAAAUGAAGUGAAUGUUUACUUUGCCUUCCAAUAAAGAAGCAGAUGUGAAUCACAGUACAUACAUGACUUAAACUUUGUGAUAGUGCUUGACCCUUACUUUUUCAGGUUUCUCCUCUUCAACGGCUGGUUCUUCAUGUUUCUCUCCAACUGCUGGUUUUUCAGGUUUCUCUUCAACUGUCGGUUGUUCAGUUUUUUUCUCAACCACUAGUUCUUCAAGCUUCUCCGAAACAACUGAUUCUUCAGAUUUAUCUUCAAUUGCUAAUUCUUCAUGUGUUUUUCCAACUACUGGUUCGUUAGGUUUUUCCUCAACUGAUGCAUAGUUAGCAAUAUCAUUAUUGGUGGUAUUGCAUGGAAUUGCAUCGUCUAUCUUGUCCUUUGAGUCUACAAUUGGCAAAUUCUGCAAGAAAAUUGAAGUUUCACUUAGUCUUUUGACAGAUAAACAGAUGUAAAUUCAUUGCACAUAUAAAGCUAAUAUGAUGGAUAGACUUUGUGGUAGUGUUUAAUCUUCACCUUCUCCAGAAGCCCUUCUGUUAAAGGUUUCUCCUCCUCCAUUACUGCUGGUUUUUCAGGUAUGUCUUCAACCAUUGGUUCUUCAGGUUUCUCUUCAAAUGCUAGUUCUUCAUGUGUUUCCUCCCCUGCUAGCUCUUCAUGUGUUUCUUUCGCUGUCGGUUCCUUAGGUUUCUUUUCAGCCGCUGGUUCUUCAGGUUUCUCCUCAACCGUUGGUUCUUCAGGUUUCUCUUUAAUCUCUGAUACAUCACGUUUCUCUUCAAAAACUGGGUUUUCUGGUUUUUCUUCAACUGCUGGUUCUUCGGUUAUUUUCUCAGUUUUUGGAUAGUGAGCAGCAUCGUUGUUGGUAUUGCAUGGAAUUUCACUAUCAGUGUUGUCCUUAGAGUCUACAACUAGCAUUUUCUGCAAGAAGAAUUUAAAGUUUCUCUUAGUCUUUCAAGAGAUAACCAGACAUGAAUUGUUGGACAUACAUAACUAAUAGGAUGGAUAAACUUCUUGAUAAUACUUGACCCUCACCUUUUCCAAAAGAGAUACUUUUUUGGGUUUCUCCUCUUCAACUGCUGGUUUCUCUUCAAAUGCUAGUUCAUUUUGUUCCUGUGUUGGUUCUUCAGGUGUUUCUUCAGUUAUUGGGUUUUCAGGUUUCUCUUCAAAUGCUUGUUCAUUUGGUGUUUCUUCCUGUGUUGGUUCUUCAGGUGCUUCUUCAGUUACUGGUUUUUCAGGUUUAUCUUCAACUGCUGGUUCUUCUAGUGUCUCCUCAAUCGAUGGUUCUUCAAGUUCCUCUCUUGCUACUGGUUUUUCAGAUUUCUCUUCAACUGCUGGUUGUUCAGGUUUUUUCAUAACCACUGACUCUUCAGAUCUCUCUUCAAUUGCUGGUUCUUCAGUUUUUUCCUCAACUGAUUCAUAAUCGGCAAUAGCAUUGUUGGUAAUGCAUUGAAUUGCAUUGUCUGUCUUGUUCUUUGACUUUUCAAUUGGUGAAUUCUGCAAAAAUAAAUAAAUUGAAGUUUCAUUUAGUCUUUCAAUGGAUAAAACAGAUGUAAAUUCGUUACGCAUAUAAAGCUAAUAUGAUGGAUAAACUUUGUGAAAGUGUUUAAUCCUCACAUUCUCCUGAAGAGCUUCCGUUUCAGGUUUCUCCUCUUCAAUUGCUUUCUUUUCAGCUUUCUCUUCAACAUCUAGUUCUUCAAGUGUCUCUUCAACGGUUGGUUCUCUAGGUUUCUCUUCAAGGGCUAGCUCUUCAGGCAUUUCCUCCUCUGCUAGUUCUUCAGGUGUUUCUUUAGCUGUUGGUUCUUCAGGUUUCUCUCCAGCCUCUGGUUUUCGAGUUUUCUCCUCAAAUGAUUCUUCAGAUUUUUCCUCAACCUUUGGUUCUUCACGUUUCUCCCUAACCAUUGGUAAAUCAGGUUUCUCUAGUUUUUCAGGUUUUUCUUCAACUGCUGGUUCCUCAAAUUCUGCAAAGUUAGCAGCAUCAUUGUUGGUAUUGCAUGGAAGUUCAUUCUCACUUUUGUCGUUUGAGUCUACAACUUGUAUUUUCUGCAAGAAAAAUUUGAAGUUUCAGUUAGUCUUUCAGUAGAUAAGCAAAUGUGAACUGUUACACAUACAUAACUAAUACAAUGGAUAAACUUUGUGCCAGUGCUUGGUCCUCACCUUUUCCAAGAAAGUUACCUUCUCAGGUUUUUCUUCAAAUUCUAACUCUUCGGAUGUUUUUUCUCGUGUUGGUUCUUUUGAUGUUUCUUCAACCACUAGUUCUUCGGGCUUCUCUUCAACCUCUGUUUUUUCAAAUUUCUCCUGAACCUCUGUUUCUUCAGGUUUCUCUUGCACAACUGGUUCUUCAGUUUUUACUUCAACUGCUGGUUCUUCAGGUUUUUCUUCAACCGCUGGUUCUGCAUGUUUCUCCGUAACUAUUGGUUCUUUAGUUUUCUCUUCAAUAAUUGGUUUUUCAUGUUUUUCUUCAACUUCUAGUUCUUCAGUUUUUUCCUCUACUGCUGGAUGGUCAGCAACAUCUUGGUUUCCCUUCUCGAUUGAGUUGUCCCCAUGUUUCGCACUCGUAUCUGAUUCAGCAUAAUCUGACCUGGUUUCUUCUACAACAUCAACAAAUGAGUUAACAAGCACAUUCCUAGCACCCUCUCCAUCUCCUGUCUCUUUUUUCUCGUCCUCUCCUCUUUGGCACUCUGAUUUGGGGGAUAUGAAAAUAUUUCUAUCGCCAUUGUAGUCAUUUGCAUCUUUGACUGCUUUCUCAUCCUUAGUGUCGCCAGGUGAUUUGAUUGCGUCAGCGUCUGUCUCUUCCGUUUUAUAUUUUGCAGAGCUAACAUCUCCUCGGACUGUCAAGGGGAUAGAUGUGUUCUUCUCAACAUUGCUCAUUUCACAUGAUGUUUCACUCUCUUCACUUGGAUUCUGUGUUCCCGCAGAAAUGAUUUCUACUCUUUUGUCUUCUGCUUUCUCCCCCAGAUGGAAUGAAGUCCCGGGCAUCUGUUCAUCUGACUUGUUUGGUGUAUCGACUGAUACAUGGACUUCCACUGAACUACCAUUUUCUUCGACAGCUUUGGAAACUAAGGGUGAUGCAUAAAAAUUUUCACCCUCAGUGGUUCCAUAAUUACCUUUAAUCAGAUCCUUAACAUUUUCAACCUCUGAAGUUUCUUCAAACUCAGAUAGUGAUUGGUCCCUUUUGUCUUUCUCCAACUUCAGUUUGUCUGAUAUUGUGUACACUUCCCCUAGCAAAUUCUCUUCCUUUAUCUGCAUAAAGAAUGAUGUUUGCUAUGUUGUAACAGAAUUAAGAAGAAAUGUGUUUUAAGUUAUCCAACAUUGGCAGAGCAGCACUAAAGUUACAACAUGAAAUUUGUCAGACUAAUCCUGCCCUAUUGGAACUGUAUAACAUUAGCAAGAUCCCUUUUUUAUCAUUGAAAUGGAGUUACUAACCCUAGCUUAGUGGUCAAAGCCUUAAAAGGUCCCAACUCCCUACAUAUAGGACCUUCUCAGGACCUAUUUACUCUUCGUAUUAUGUAUGAGAUAUUUAUCAUUGGCGAAAGAGACUGCAGUACGAAACAAUAGAAAAGAAUGCAGGAGGACUUCUACCUACAAUAUUUGAAGUAGUCAUAAACCUACUAAGUUUGUGAAAAACUGGUGAGAUACUGUUUGUUGCAUGUACAAGUGAUUUGUUUGUGGCUUCUAAAGAAAGAUAAAUUUGGAGUUUUCAGUUGGGUAAAUACAGAUUAGUCCGUCAGCUGGGGGCUUAAUUCUUUUAACUUCUGAGAAUAUACACAUUAAUUACCAGUAGCAUGUUUCUAGAUUAGGUUGAUUUGACAAACAAGUCGUAUAGAGAAUUUAUAAGUGUUGGUGUCAAACAGUCAUGAUAAACCAAUUACCUCUAACAUUUUUCUCAAGUGUUUCUAAACCAUGAGAGGAUUGAUUUGAAAUGUAUAUCCAUAACUUCUCCAUAUAAGUACCUGAGUGGAACAGUUUGCCUUCCAAGGCUAACUACAAGUUUGUCUCACACAAUUAAAAUGAGGAACAAGUCUUUUUGGGGAGAGUCAAGUUUUUCAAUACUAAUUUAUUUAAGAAGAGUUUUAAAAAUCAGAUUUUAUUGAUUUGUUUCUGUGCUAAUUCAAAGAGGUUUUCGUUUUAUCAAUAACUAUAGUCUUUUGGAGAGAGUCAAGUUUUCAGUAUUACAUUAUUUCAUGAGCAGUUGAGGAUUAAUAAUUGUGCUGAUUUAUUUCUGUGCUAUUUCUUUUAGGUCAUAUUACCUCCAAAAACAUAUAUAGAAGUCAAGUUGUUAUUACCUAAGAAGAAGAUCAACUGUUAUACGGGACUAUAUCAAGAAGGAAUCUCAGGUAAGGCAAAGUUUUCCUGGAACUUUAUAUGAACAUUCAGCCGUGGUAGUCAGGAUGCUCUUCAAUUAGCCAAUUCAAGAAGGAUCGAGUUUAUUGUAGAAUAAACAAUUUGAUUCAGUUGAAUAUCUACUAAUUUGUAGAAAUAACAUACAAGUUCCUGAAACUAGGAAACUUCUAUAAGUGAUAAGCAAAACCGAAACAAAUUUUCUUUUGUCAUCAAAGAUUGCAUGAAAUAAUCUUUACAUGAAGAUGGUAACCUUGAUUCGGUUCUUUAGUGACAACCUUUGCGCUUUGAAGAAAAUUGGCAGUGAUCUGGUGAAGUUAUUUCAUUAACGCAUACUUCAGUGGCGUACUAAUACUUAAUCUAGUAUGUAACAUGUAUUUGUACUUCUUAGGAACACUGUAUUCCUGACCGAUCUUUAUGGAACAAAUGAACACAUCUCUCUUCACACAGUUGUUUGAGGUAUGAUCUCUGAUCAAGCCGUUGCUUCUUUUGAAGUUUUUUCAUAUACAUGAAAGCAAGCUUGACUACUACAAUUAGCUAUAGAAAUUACUGCUGCAGCUAAUGAAAUGAUGAAACACGCAAAAUGAAGAAGUAUCAUGCUCACAUAAAGUAAAAAUAAAUGAGUUAACUUACACUUUUGUUCUCUGGUAUUUCAGCGUCAUAUUCCAUUUCUCAUAAGCUGAUCGCAGAACUGCUGUGUUACGUUUUCUUUUCCACUCGCUAAAGACUAUCAGAGUGUGUGUUGUACAAUUGAACUCGACUGACAAAUCUCAUAACUUUAAGUAGAGAUUCUCUAUAUAUGCCAAUGCAGAAUUACAAUAGUUAUAUAAUAAUUAACUGAUGACCAUGUUGUUAAAGUAGACAGAAAAUGACAAAUUCCACUUGUUAAUUCUACUAAUAUAGUGAGUUGGACAUAGAUGCCUGGUCCUUUUGAAUGAUGAGUAGUCACAUGCCCCUCUAGUGUAGCUUUAGUCAUCAAACAGCCACAUAAUUGUUUGUUAUGACUGUAGGGAUUGUGCUGCUGACAAGGAGAUAUUGCCAGAAGAUUAUACUUUUACUUGAUCCCAGGGUGGUUAUAAACUAAGUUGCGCAGACUCUUCACUUUCAAUGCCGCACCCAUGUCUGAUUCUCCAAAAAUACACUACUUUUGGAGAUCCGACAUGCAUUCGUUGACAUUUUCGAACCAACCUAGGUUAAAAUUUUAUUUGAAGGAGAGUAACAUGCCUUCCUAACAAUCUUUAGAUAGGUGUUGUUGGCUUGAAUUUUCCUACAAAUUGGUUUUAUUGAUUUACUUGAUCUUGGACAACUUUGGCUUGAAUUUUAAUGCAUUUUACUAGUGAUCCUAUAAUCUGUUUG
rnacentral:lncRNA from 1 species